GUAGUCUGCAACUCGACUACAUGAAGCUGGAAUCGCUAGUAAUCGCGGAUCAGAAUGCCGCGGUGAAUACGUUCCCGGGUCUUGUACACACCGCCCGUCACACCAUGGGAGUCGGAAACGCCCGAAGCCAGUGACCCAACUGAAAGGAGGGAGCUGUCGAAGGCAGGUCUGAUAACUGGGGUGAAGUCGUAACAAGGUACC
rnacentral:rRNA from 1 species